rnacentral:rRNA from 1 species
UACGUAGGGUGCGAGCGUUAAUCGGAAUUACUGGGCGUAAAGCGUGCGCAGGCGGCUUCGCAAGUCAGACGUGAAAUCCCCGGGCUUAACCUGGGAAUGGCGUUUGAAACUACGGAGCUGGAGUGUGGCAGAGGGAGGUAGAAUUCCACGUGUAGCGGUGAAAUGCGUAGAUAUCGUUUGGAACGCCAAUGGUGAAAACAGGUCGCUGGGGAUGAGCUGACGCUGAGACACGAAAGCCAGGGGAGCGAACGGG